rnacentral:rRNA from 1 species
ACAUAUCAAUAAGCGGAGGAAAAGAAACCAACAGGGAUUGCCCUAGUAACGGCGAGUGAAGCGGCAACAGCUCAAAUUUGAAAUCUGGCUUCGGCCCGAGUUGUAAUUUGCAGAGGAUGUUUCUGGCGCGGUGCCUUCCGAGUUCCCUGGAACGGGACGCCACAGAGGGUGAGAGCCCCGUAUGGUUGGACACCAAGCCUGUGUGAAACUCCUUCGACGAGUCGAGUAGUUUGGGAAUGCUGCUCAAAAUGGGAGGUAAAUCUCUUCUAAAGCUAAAUACCGGCCAGAGACCGAUAGCGCACAAGUAGAGUGAUCGAAAGAUGAAAAGCACCUUGAAAAGGGGGUUAAACAGUACGUGAAAUUGUUGAAAGGGAAGCGCUUGUGACCAGACUUGCGCCGGGCGGUUCAUCCGGGGUUCUCCCCGGUGCACUCCGCCCGGCUCAGGCCAGCAUCGGUUUUCGUUGGGGGAUAAGAACGGCAGGAACGUGGCCCUCCUUCGGGUGGGUGUUAUAGCCUGCCGUACGAUACCCUGACGGGGACCGAGGUUCGCGCUCCGCAAGGAUGCUGGCGUAAUGGUCAUCAGCGACCCGUCUUGAAACACGGACCAAGGAGUCGUCCAUUAGAGCGAGCGUUUGGGUGUCAAACCCGCACGCGUAAUGAAAGUGAAAUUAGGUGAGAGCUUCGGCGCAUCAUCGACCGAUCCUGAUGUUCUCGGAUGGAUUUGAGUAAGAGUUUUAACGGACGGACCCGAAAGACAGUGAACUAUGCUUGUAUAGGGUGAAGCCAGAGGAAACUCUGGUGGAGGCUCGCAGCGGUUCUGACGUGCAAAUCGAUCGUCAAAUAUGAGCAUGGGGGCGAAAGACUAAUCGAACUGUCUAGUAGCUGGUUACCGC